GUUGUUCGGAUUUACUGGGCGUAAAGCGCACGUAGGCGGACUAUUAAGUCAGGGGUGAAAUCCCGGGGCUCAACCCCGGAACUGCCUUUGAUACUGGUAGUCUCGAGUCCGGAAGAGGUGAGUGGAAUUCCGAGUGUAGAGGUGAAAUUCGUAGAUAUUCGGAGGAACACCAGUGGCGAAGGCGGCUCACUGGUCCGGUACUGACGCUGAGGUGCGAAAGCGUGGGGAGCAAACAGG
rnacentral:rRNA from 1 species